UUUUUAUUAAUUUUAUUGUAGAUGACUAAAUUCUGUGUUCAAUUAAAAUCAAUUGAACAACACAUGCCCUAAGAAGAUGUGAACUACAUAGAGAAAAUAAAACCAACACGAUUAAACAAAACCCUCCCAGGCACUAUUAUCGAGAAGCGUUAUUUUUUCAAUUCCUCCGACGCUGGUAGAGCUUCAGCUCGCCGGCGUCGGGACCGCUCUUCCAUCUCUCGAAUCCUUUGCAUUUUUUCUCUUUGUUUUCUCUCCUGGUCUUUGCGUGCCCCCAGCUAUCCCAUGUUUCUUGAAUCUUUCUUUCCUCCAACUUUACCCGACGAGCCUGCUUGUGACAGAGCCCGAAGAUGGACCCGGUGAACCAUCUAUCACUUGCCCUGCUCACGCCGUCUUGAAGCUAACAGAAAAGGAAUCUCGCGAAUCCAAAGUUUACCCAAAGCUUAAAUCUGGAAGCUGUCCUAAACCGCCAGCUAGUUCCCCGCCCACGAGAAUCGUCAAUGACUAACCCCACCGGAUUACAAGUCUGCAACGCUUGAGUUGGCAAGGAAGUUGACGGUGGCGGCAAAAACCCUAAUCCAGCUCCAGCUGAUGGUUCCCCUUAGUGGAUUUAGCCCAUUAACCUCCCAGUCUCGGCCCAUUAGUUCAUAUGCUACAAUUCUAAUUUUGCCAAACUGGACCAAUGAAAACAUGAAGAGGAACGACAUUAUGAUCCUGUCUCCAUGAAGCAGUGAUUACCGUACACUCUUCAAUCCUUCAGCUCCGUCUCUUCCCAAACCAAAACCUCUACAAGCAUCUUUUCGCAACAUCAAAGGUAGAUUUUAUGAAAGUAGAGGUGGGAAGAAGAACGACAUAAGGUUGGUUUCAAAUCCAACUCCUCCCUCUUCUCAACUCAGGAAAUUUCUCAUGUGGUAGAAGAUUUGGAGACCAUAAUUUGGGGUUGAGAUGUUAGAGGAGGAGAUGAUGGUGUUUAAGAUACAUCUUGCUUCAAUGCUUCGUUUCUGUUGAGAAUCGUAUAUAUAUUUUAAGGGCUAGUAAGUUUGGCUUAAAAUUAUAAUUGGUUGGGGGAGGAGACUGCAUGUGUUAUCUUCUAUAUAUCUCUUAAUUAGCUCAUUAUUUUUGCCCAUUCUUACUAUCAAGAAACUGAAAAGCAAUAAUUAAGAAAGUUCACUUUUUAUA